GACGAACGCUGGCGGCGUGCCUAACACAUGCAAGUCGAGCGAGUGGAGUUCUUCGGAACAAAGCUAGCGGCGGACGGGUGAGUAACACGUGGGCAACCUGCCUCAUAGAGGGGAAUAGCCUCCCGAAAGGGAGAUUAAUACCGCAUAAGAUUGUAGCUUCGCAUGAAGUAGCAAUUAAAGGAGCAAUCCGCUAUGAGAUGGGCCCGCGGCGCAUUAGCUAGUUGGUGAGGUAACGGCUCACCAAGGCGACGAUGCGUAGCCGACCUGAGAGGGUGAUGGGCCACAUUGGGACUGAGACACGGCCCAGACUCCUACGGGAGGCAGCAGUGGGGAAUAUUGCACAAUGGGGGAAACCCUGAUGCAGCAACGCCGCGUGAGUGAUGACGGCCUUCGGGUUGUAAAGCUCUGUCUUCAGGGACGAUAAUGACGGUACCUGAGGAGGAAGCCACGGCUAACUACGUGCCAGCCGCCGCAGUAAAAC
rnacentral:rRNA from 1 species